GAUGAACGCUGGCGGCGUGCCUAAUACAUGCAAGUCGAGCGAACGGACGAGAAGCUUGCUUCUCUGAUGUUAGCGGCGGACGGGUGAGUAACACGUGGAUAACCUACCUAUCAGACUGGGAUAACUUCGGGAAACCGUAGCUAAUACCGGAUAAUCUUUUGAACCGCAUGGUUCAAAAGUGAAAGACGGUCUUGCUGUCACUUAUAGAUGGAUCCGCGCUGCAUUAGCUAGUUGGUAAGGUAACGGCGUACCAAGGCAACGAUGCAUAGCCGACCUGAGAGGGUGAGCGGCCACACUGGAACUGAGACACGGUACAGACGCCUAGGGGAGGCAGCAGUAGGGAAUCUGCCGCAAUGGGCGAAAGCCUGACGGAGAAACGCCGCGUGAGUGAUGAAGGUCUUCGGAUCGUAAAACUCGGUUAUUAGGGAAGAACAUAUGUGUAAGAAACUGGGCACAUAUUGACGGUACCUAAUCAGAAAGCCACGGCUAAAUAAGGG
rnacentral:rRNA from 1 species